UAAGAUCCGGACUACAACAA
rnacentral:siRNA from 1 species